rnacentral:rRNA from 1 species
UACGGGGGAGCAAGCGUUGUUCGGAUUUACUGGGCGUAAAGGGCGCGUAGGCGGCGUGACAAGUCACUUGUGAAAUCUCCGGGCUUAACUCGGAGCGGCCAAGUGAUACUGUCGUGCUAGAGUGCGGAAGGGGCUACUGGAAUUCUCGGUGUAGCGGUGAAAUGCGUAGAUAUCGAGAGGAACACCUGCGGCGAAGGCGGCAUCCUGGACCAUUACUGACGCUGGAGGCGCGAAAGCCUAGGGGAGCAAACGGG